rnacentral:rRNA from 1 species
UCGGCAGACGGCUCAGUAACACGUGGAUAAUCUGCCCUAGGGUGGAGGAUAACCUCGGGAAACUGAGAAUAAUACUCCAUAGGCCUAAGAUGCUGGAAUGCGUUUAGGCUAAAAGCCCCGGCGCCCUAGGAUGAAUCUGCGGACUAUCAGGUAGUAGUCAGGGUAACGACCUGACUAGCCUACGACGGAUACGGGUUGUGAGAGCAAUAACCCGGAGACGAUAUCUGAGACACGAUAUCGGGCCCUACGGGGCGCAGCAGGCGCGAAAACUUCACACUGUGCGAAAGCACGAUGAGGGAAUCCCAAGUGCCAGCUCGUAAGAGCUGGCUGUUUCUCUGUCUAAAAAACAGAGAGAGUAAGAGCUGGGUAAGACGGGUGCCAGCCGCCGCGGUAAUACCUGCAGCUCGAGUGGUGACCGUUAUUAUUGGACCUAAAACGUCCGUAGCCGGCUUGGUAAAUGCUUGGGUAAAUCGUAUAGCUUAACUAUACGAAUUCCGGGUAGACUGCCAGGCUUGAGAUCGGGAGAGCUAGAGGUACUCCUGGGGUAGAGGUGAAAUUCUGUAAUCCUGGGGGGACCACCAGUGGCGAAGGCGUCUGGCUAGAACGAGUCUGACGGUGAGGGACGAAACCCUGGGGCACAAACCGGAUUAGAUACCCGGGUAGUCCAGGGCGCAAACGCUGCUCGCUUGAUGUUAGUUGGGCUCCGAGCCUAACUAGUGUCGGAGCGAAGGUGUUAAGCGAGCUUGUCUGGGAAGUACGGUCGCAAGACUGAAACUUAAAGGAAUGGCGGGGGAGCACAGCAACGGUGGAGCGUGGCGGUUUAAUU